GCCCGGGUGGCGGAAUCGGCAGACGCAGGAGGCUUAAACCCUCCGGCCCCCAGGGGUGUGCGGGUUCGAGUCCCGCCUCGGGCA
rnacentral:tRNA from 2 species